GGGGGCGAAAUGGUCUCGACGGGGUUAGUGAACUCGUAGGAGCGAGCCGAGGUUCCCAGUGCCUCGUAAAAAAGCUGGAACAAUAAAAAUGCCAAUAACGAAUUUGCAUUAGCUGCUUAAUUAGAUAAGUAGCCGUCCGCGUGGGAUUCUGGUCCGGUGUCCCGCGAUCGGGCGUCAGAAAGCCGGAUCUCGCCCGAAGUCUUUUGUCUCGGAGCUUCGGGGACACACAGGGACUCGAGUUGCAUCACUCUGUCUGUGCAGUGGUGUGACUGACAUCGAGCACAGACUGUGCUCGGAGAGCCUCCGAGGGAUUUAACUUCGGACGUGGGUUCGAUUCCCACCGCCUCCACCA
rnacentral:tmRNA from 2 species